GAGUAAGUGUUUGUAUGACUCGCUCCAUAACUGCUCCUCGUAUUUCGGAAAACGAAAACCCUAGGCUGCACCUCAGUGCCGUUGCGAAGAAAACUCAGCUGGUCCCUUUCCAUUGCUUGGCGGCCUAACAGAAAUGAAGAACUUUAGAGUCCAAAAGUGGGCUGGGUUUUGAUGCCAUCUCUGACGCCAUUCUCAGGUCCAAUUGUUUGACAGAUAAAGACGAGGUCCCUCACGCAGCCACCCACCGUCCCGAUGAGAAUUUACCUCAGCACCUCUCGCAGAUGGGACCUGGCCCCGCGGGAGCUCCGAAACCGAGGCUAACCCCCCUCCGGCGGCGAGGCCCAGGUGUCUCCCCUCAGUCAGACGCCAAGGUAAUUCAGCGGCGGCUCCAAAACACACGUGCUCCCUCAUCAGCAGGCCCUCACCGGAGAACAACUUUACAUUAAAGACUUGUCUCAUUAGAGCGCAACGGACACGGCCAGGGCUAAUGAGAGAGGCUGUGAUGACGGCAGGCUCUGAUAUUCAAGUGCAAUAACAGAACCACGGUCAGGGCCAAAGCCAUGUCACGCCUGGGUGACGGUGAAUAAGAACGGGGCCGUGAUGUUGGCAUUGACCGCAUCCAAGUUCAAGGCUCAGCAAGAUUGUAUUGGUGUUGGCCGUCGAGGGACAUGCUGUUUACAGAAGGAGUCUUGUAAUGAGCCGGGCCAGGGAUAGAUAUAAACGUUGAGUUGAGUUUGAUUCAUGUUGGUAAAUUCGGUUUUUAGCGGAUUAUGGAUUUUUUUUUUAUUAUCCCAGAUGAUUUUAAGUGUGCAUGUACUGUAAUUGUUUUUUUUGUGUGUCAUUUGAUUUGUUGUUAGAGUAGAGAAUUACCAUUGCACAUCUUUGUUUUGCUAAUCAAACAAAAGUAUGCCAGGUGCAAGUCAAAUUUGUAAUUUUUCUUUUUGUUGGCAAUGUUGCAUGAAACAGUUCACACAGAAACACUUUCUGUUGGUCAGUGUGGCUAAUUUGCAUGAUCAGCUUGAGCAAGGUUUGUGGUUGGUUAUUUGAGUAGGAAAUAUUUCGAGAUGAGCCAAAAUGUACAUCUCCAUUUGGAAGAUGCAUUUUUUUUGUAUGCGUGAAUAUGUCAGGGUUAAGGUUUCACAGAAAAAUGUCCUGGUUGUUGAUAGCGUAAUAAUGUAUGUAGCACAGCUCAAGUGUAAUUUUUUGGACAGUGUUGCAAAUUCGCCCUCUCAUUUGCAAAGAUUUCUAUUAAAAAACCCCCCAAAAAACUGCAUUUCACCACACAAAAUCUGCACGGGUUCCUAUUUUGCAUAUUUAGCUCUUUAGGUAAAAUUAACAUUGUUCCAUUUUGUUGUAGAAUUCUUUUUUUCGCAUUUGAGUCUGUGG